GUGCUGCAACUAGUAGUUGAUAUUCUAGGAUGUUAUACCUAAAAUUGGAAUUCAGCUAUUAGAGAUUAGCAAAAUUAAAGUACUUAAAAGCAAGUAUUGUACUUAUUUAAACAUUCAAAGUAAAAUAGAAUUUUUUGUUCUAGGCGGAAACUCUAGAUGGCGUUGAUGUGCGUCUAUGAUGAAUAUUAUGGGUGACAAGUUAAAUGGGUGUUAGUUACUUUACCCUGUUAUGUGUUUUAAAGUUUUUUUCGUCAAAAAAUUUACGAUUGCUUUUUGUACGUGGUGUUGUUUCGCCUUGUCAGCUAUGCCAGCUGCUGAACCAGCAGCCUGCAUUCCUGCUAUCAAUGUACCACAAGGGAUCCUGACACUUUAAGAAGGCCACUAUUCCUUACAUGAACAUCACCAUCCAGUUCAAGUACUGUGGAUGGACCUCAGGUCUUUUGUUUGAGCUUAGUGAUGUAUUCUCUCGUCAGUGUAAGGAACGGCCAGUAACAGAGUCUUCAUCUACUUUGUGUUGCCAACCAUCAGCCCUCAGCAUCCCAGGUAUCCAGAUUUACAAGUUUCUCUGCUUAGCCAACCAUCAUCCAUACCCUUCAGCUCUUCAUUGUGGCUUCUCUUCCUGUCUUCUUAGUCUACUGAAUGCCAACAUUGAAUAAGGUUCAUCAUCAUUGCCUUUCAAUGCCAACUCACAUGGAUAGGCUUUAACUACAUCUCCAUUUUUUGGACUGCAAAUAUUCAUCUUCCUUCGGUACAGUUUUGACAAUUUCGGUAGUUUCGCCCCCAGUGGACCACACGCAACUACAUUUUCUUCGUCUUCCGUCGACUUCACAUCAUUGCUGUCUUUGUUGACGUAUUCGGCUUCAUCUCCGUCUUGUCGUCUUGGUCGUCUUCGCCUUCAU
rnacentral:lncRNA from 1 species